CUUUUCUACUUUAAACAUAACAAAUAUUAUCUGCUAAAAUACUAUAUCCCAGUAAUUUGUGAUGUUGAAUGCUCAAUCCCACAUAGCUCAUUUUUUAGAUAAUGAAAGUUUUUAUUUCGGUGAAUUUUGCAGAUUGCUUUUAUAACAGAAGUUUUCCACCCGAAUGUUAAAACAAAUGGAACCAUAUGCCCUGCAAUGUUUAAGGAGGGUCAGCCGGUGCUAACCAUUUCCAAGGUUUGUUUUCUAUAUGUCUGAUGUUGAUAUGCCUCAUCGAAUUUUCAUAUGUACUCAACUUCUAACUUGAAAAUCGAAAAUUCUAGCAUGGGUUUCUCACCCAUUGAAUUGUGAAUUUGGAUCUCCACAAGUCUUUUAUUUCUUUGGCAUUAAUUAUAGUCCCCUAUCUUACUAGUUUGUAGCACCCUGGUGGAGGGGUUUCGUCCAGGUGACCAUUAGUGAGAUAGAUUUUUGUUGAAACACGUAACCCACUAGGGACAUGACUUUAGCUAUACUAAACGCUUUGAAACUGAGACCUUUUCAAACUGUGAUAAAUUUUCUUGGUUAAGCACGAUUAUUGCAUACAUGUUUUAAUAUUUUGAAAAAGGUUUUACUUGAUGUACGCCUUGUGAGGGGGCUCACAAUUAUUUUAUUCAUGUGGGCCCCUUUAACUUGUGAGGGGACUGUACAUCAUGAUGUAACAAGUGUCUUUUUCCUUUUAAAAAUGCUUCAUAAUCGCGUUCAUAUUAAUAUCAUUAAAAAUAUAUCCAACCGUACUUAGUCCAUUAUUUUUAAAUGGGAAAAAUGUAAUGCCAAUCUUUAGCCAAUCAUUGUGUAUUUUUGUUCCGAACUUUGUUUAUUAACGCAACUAUAACGAAAAUGUUCUAAAAAAUUGUUAAUAUCAGCCCCUUGCAUAAUGAAAUAAUUGAACACUAAUGCCAAAGCAUUACUCCCAAAUCAUUGAUGGUUUUUAUUAUUGUUGACAACAGAAAUUAGAUGAACAAAUCCUCUCACUCAGGCAGGAUUUCCAAACUCACUAGUUUCGAUACUCAAAUUGAAGUAAGAGGGAAAAUAGUUAUUUGGUAAGAAAAUAUUUGAAUUGCAUCCCUUUCUCUUUAGAAGUGGGGAUAUUUAUAGAUUUUCCUCCAUAAUUUGGGGUAAUUUGGUUAUUUAGGGAAAGUGACAUAUGGUGACUCCUUAUUGGCUAAUUUGUAAUCUAUUCGUUUAAAAGUAUAACGUUAUAUUCAUUUAUCCAUGUGUAUUUUAUUAACAGCCUAAUACUAGUCUGAAUGGAGGGGGGGGGGGGUUUCACCUAUUUUGUGCAAACCUUUUAUGCUUUUUCUCCCCUAGCGUGUUGCUUUUAAGCUUUCCGAAUUUGUAUUACGAGGUUCAACAGUUAUAAUACCAAAAAAGUCGUUUACAAUUCUAAGUGGUCUUUUGGGGUUCAAUUUCACUCUUUUACAAUGAAGUUCUAUGACUUAAAAAAAAAAUAAAAAUAAAAAUAAAAAUAAAAAGAAAUAUGGUUUCAUUUACAAUUCUAAGUGGUCUUUUGGGGUUCAAUUUCACUCUUUUACAAUGAAGUUCUAUGACUAAAAAAAAAAAAAAAAGAAAUAUGGUUUCAUGUGAAUGAAUGCUUGAAUUAGUACUUUUUUCUCAAACGUCCUUAAAUUCUUACAUAUAAACAUGCAAAAUCUCUGCUGAAAAGCUAACUUUUCAUUUAGUGGACCUUUUCCCUCUGCCAGUUUAAAAUAAAUAAAUAAACAUUUAAACAACUUUCUCCAAACUAACAUCCUUUUCCACACCCUACACUUCCAUUAGUUAGGUUGAGGGCAUAGACGAUGGUCGGGAGCCAUUGGCGGAUCUAGGGGGGCACUUUCCCCUAGCCCAAUUCACAGUUACAAAAAAAAUUGCACAAAAAAAAUAAUAAAAAUUUAAGUAAAUAUAUAUUUAUUUUUUUUGUCCUAAAAUUUAUCCUGUAUCCACCCCUGUGAGCCACCUGGUGCUGGCUGUACUUCCACUAUAUACUUUUAUAUUUUUCUUAGGAAUGUAAAUAGAUCGGAUAUGAAGCAGAUUUGCCCAAAUUCGAUCCGAUAAUCCAACGGAUAUAUUGAUUGUUAAAUCUAUAUCUGAUUUGCUAUGUUAUCGGAUAUCCGAUCCAGAUUUGAAAAAAAUAAAAAUAAAAAAAAAUCUACCCUUUUUUUGGGUAAUAUAAUUUUUUUCCUAAAAAUUAUUUGAACUAUCUUGAUGGACUCACCUAUUAUAUGAUUUUUUUCCUAAAAAAUAUUUUAACUAUCUUGAUGGGCUCACCUAUUAUACUAGAAAGCCCCAAUCAAUUUUUUAUUCAAGUGAUGCUCCUUUAGUUCCUUUUUAAAUGAGACUCCUCUUGGAAUGUUUUAGUAAUCUUCCAAUGUGGGAUAUUAACUUUUUAAAGGAUACUCCUCUUUCAAUUCUUUGGUGAUCUUUCAAUGUGGGAUAUUAGUGAAUUGUCAAUUCUAAGUGUUACAAGUUUAUUUUAUUAUUUUCAUUAAAAAUCAUAGCUUCAACAAGAUUAUAAUCACAAAUAAUAUCAAUUUAAACAAUGUAAAUUAUUUUUGGACAUAUUAAUUAUUAGUUUUUUAUGUUAUAAAACAAAUUACUAUAAUUAUUUUUAUCUUAUUUUAAUUAAUAAAAAAAAUAAAUCUCUUAGAAUAUUUCAAUUAACAAUAUGAAACUAUUUUCUAAUAUUAUUUAUUAUUUGAAAAUUAUGUGUAAAGCAUAAUAUAAGUUUCAAAAUGGAAAAAAUUAUGUUUACUAGAUUAUGAUAUAAUAUAUAAAAUAUAUUAUAUUAUUAUAAUAAAUCGGACCGGAUUGUUAUCGGACCGGAUCGACCUAUAUCCAUAUUUACUCCAUUUAGUUAACGAAUUAUCGGAUUAUCAGACUAAAAUCCUAAAUCCAUCUCCCAUUAAUUUCAUCGGAUUCGAAUUAAAAUUCAAUCUAUUGACAGCCCUAAUUGCACUGUAGUCUUCCACUACGACUAAUCUUCAUUUACAUCUCUCCCUCUCAAUCUUCACUGAUUUUUUUUAUUUUUUUUUCUGAUGUAAUUUUUAACGUCAUCUGGAAGGAAUCUUCUAGUGUAGAGAUUAAAAGAUGCCACAAACUUGUUGAUCCGGUAGCUAAGAUAAGGGAUCUAAUAUCCCUAAAGAUGAUAUUUUUUUGUCUAAACUGAAUAAAUUGCUCCUUCAGUUGCAAUGGCUCAGUAAUUCAAGCUCAACUUUCUAAUGGAGUUGAAUUGAUUGGUUUUCCAAUUUUAUGUAUUACUUAUAAUUUCUGCUUUGUUCGCGGAUCCAGUCACUGAUGAUCCUUUGGUGCCUGAGAUUGCUUACAUGUGAGAGACAGACAAGAAGAAGUACGAAGCCAUCGCAAGGAGUUGGACUCAGAAGUAUGCCAUGGGCUAAUAGUGUUGGGAUUUUGACUCUAUGGAGAAAAAAAAUUGGUAAAAUUCUAUAUGAUUGUAAAUUUUUUUCAUUUCGUGAAAUCAUUUAUUAAUCAUAAUGAGUGCUCACUGUGUGAUUGUUUUUUAAUUGGAGACUGUUGGAGUUAAAAUUGAUGCUAAGCAUAAAGCAUUAAGAUUUGUAUGGUCAUUCCAUCUUCUUAUGAGACAUAUCAAACCCAUUUUGACGUAUGGAAAAGAAACUAAAAUUUAGCAGAAGUUAUAAGUAAACUGAUUUUUGAAGAAAGAA
rnacentral:lncRNA from 1 species